rnacentral:pre_miRNA from 1 species
AGUACAACUGCUGGAUGAUAUUGUAGAGGCAUGUUUAGUUUUUCAAGGACCUAUCAGACUAUUUUCCAGAGUUUGGUUCAACCAUUUUACAUUCCCACCAGCAAU